rnacentral:rRNA from 1 species
CCUACGGGAGGCAGCAGUGAGGAAUUUUCCGCAAUGGGCGAAAGCCUGACGGAGCAAUACCGCGUGAGGGAUGAAGGAUUUUGGUCUGUAAACCUCUUUUCUCAAGAAAGAAGUUCUGACGGUACUUGAGGAAUAAGCAUCGGCUAACUCCGUGCCAGCAGCCGCGGUAAUACGGGGGAUGCAAGCGUUAUCCGGAAUGAUUGGGCGUAAAGCGCCUGUAGGUUGUUUAUUAAGUCCGUUGUUAAAGCCUAGGGCUUAACCCUAGAAAAGCAAUGGAAACUAGUAGACUAGAGUAUGGCAGGGGUAGAGGGAAUUUCUAGUGUAGCGGUGAAAUGCGUAGAUAUUAGAAAGAACACCGGUGGCGAAAGCGCUCUACUGGACCAUUACUGACACUCAGAGGCGAAAGCUAGGGUAGCAAAAGGGAUUAGAUACCCCUGUAGUCCUAGCCGUAAACGAUGGAUACUAGAUGUUGCGCAUUAUGUACAGUAUCGUAGCUAACGCGUUAAGUAUCCCGCCUGGGGAGUACGCUCGCAAGGGUGAAACUCAAAGGAAUUGACCGGNNGNGANGCAGCGACACGAGGAGAG